AGGAUUCCAAGGCUGAACGGCUCAUCAUUCCCCAGUAACUCAUACCAGAUGCUAAAGAAAUGAAAAGAAAUGAAAGUCCGUGUUCCCUGGGACAAUGGUAUCAAGGUAUUUCCUAGGCUUUUGUUUCAUUGCUUGAAAGCUUACACGUGUCUCGGGCUUUUAAUGAGUUUUUACUUUGGUCUGAGGGGGGACAGGUGGACGUUUUGCACUGUAGCUGGCUGUUAUUAAUUAAAAUGAGGACUGACAACAUUAAAACCAGAAGGGGUGAGUCCAGUGAGAAGGAUGAGGGUUUGAAAAGAGGUUGUUAAUGUCGAGUUCUCUGUUGGCAGCAUGUCAACAGCAGCCUGUCAGUCAUGGUUAUGCUUGUGCAGGCUGUGGUUGUCAUCUACAAUAAGACAGAGCUCUUGGUUCUGCAUUGCAGCUCCUUUACACCAGCCCCAGCAGGGCUUCACAUCAGCUCUUCAAACCAGCCAAAACCAUCUGGGAGAAUCUUGGGUUGAAUUUGCCACAGACUGAGACAAUAUGACUACCCAUAGACAUAAUUAUUGUGUUUCUGAACCAAUAUAUUCCUGAAUGCACUAUCAUACCUAGAAUAUGUGGAAAGAAUGUAUUGAUGGUGAGUUAAGAACCUAAAAAUGUGCUAUUGAAUUCUCUAUUGAGAUUCAGUUACCAUAAACAGUAAUUAAAUAGUUAUUGGUCUAUCCACUGGCAUGAAGAACAUUGCAUACUGUUAUGUUUUCCACAGGCAAAGAGCCAGGCUCAGGCCAGAGUCAGUCUUGGUGCCUUUUAUUUCAUGCAAAGGGAAUCACAAACAUGAAGCUUUCCUUCAAAUCCCUGCAAUGAGAAAUCCCAUGGCAUCUCCCAUCCGAAACAAGGAUGCCUUCUGCCUUUUGGUGUCCUUCAGCAAGGAACAGUAUAGGCUACACAGUAGGGACAGCCAAGCGACAGCUCCUCUGGCCCUUGGGAUAUGCCAUUACAAGGAGUUCUUGUUCCCGAGAAUGGCCCCAUCUUCUGGCACAUGUCCCAGCUCAUUGAAAUGGUGGGUGGAUGCCCAACUCUGCUUCAAGGAAACAACAGAGCCCACGGCCACAUCCCAGCAAAGCAGUAACUUCUGUUUACUUAAACUUUUCUCUCCCUGCUUUUCCCCUGCAAGCAUCCUCCCAUCCCAUCCAACUCAGGCUUGAAGUGACCUCAAGCACUUUGGGGUGAGAAAGGAGGAAAAAGGUAAUCUGGCUAUGCAACCCCUUUCUGAGAUACUGAAUUCAUUAGUCUCUAUUAUGAAUGUUCUGAGACAGUCAUUUCCAGCUUCAAGGUUAACAACAGCUGUGCCAGCACUGAGAUUCUUAUCGGAUGGUGUCUCUCCCUUGGGGAAGUAUCAUCUUCCCCUUUUCCAUGUUUUUCUUUUUUAAGCAAAGAUCCUUUGCAAAAGAAAAAAAAAAAAAGAUAAUAAUCAAAGCAGCAAGAAUCAGGGUUUCCAGAAACAGGGUCUACACUAACAGGCUGGAGGUUCUUCAGAGCCUAGAGCUGAGUGUGUUCAGGGACCUGGGGGGGGAGACUGAGGCAUUGGGAGGAAUGUGCAGGGUUGACAGCAGAGCAAAAGGCAUGAGCCCAAAUUCACUGCUUUAGCUGUUGGUUCCUGCAGCUCCUCUAGUGCUUCUGGUGAAUAUGUUGACAAGGUUUACAUGUAAAGGUGCUACAGAGAGAGGAUUUGUAUAAAUAGAUAGAGAGGUUUGCUUAAAAUCAGCUGUCAGGCUCUGGAGGCUAAUAGUUUCCAUCCCAAACAACUGUCAGAGCGUUCAGCUCUUAUAAAUCUCAGCUCUGUGUUCACCGCUUCAGUAGAGAUCUAUGAAGAAAAAAAAACCAGCAGAGAAUAAGCAGAAGACGCAGCCAAGACAUCAGUGAUAAAGUGGAGCAGAAAAGGCAGCUGAAGUCUUGGACUGCAGCACAGGACAUUGUGUGCUGGAGUCAGGAGUGGCUCAGAGAGAUCAAUAUUUCUUGUCCUGCCACAUGCCGAAGCACUGUGUCACCAGUGGGGAGAAAAUCCAUCACGUAGAUAUGUGAAAUACCGUGACUGUCUUUAAGGAGAGGAAAAAAAGAGAAGCUAACACCAACAGGAUAAUUACAGUGGAAGUACAGAGGUCAGAUAAAUCUUAUAAGGUAAUAAGUAAAACUGAGAGAUAUGUGUAAGUACAUAUAAGUAUAUAUAUAUAUAAGUAAAACGGAGUGAAUUAAAUCUUAGCAGUAGAGAAAGAAUUCUCUUUAAAAUUAAUGAGUUUUUAGAUCAGUGAUGUGUUGUCCUGUAUCUCAGUUUCUAUGGCAGGUUUCUGUUGUCUUUCAGAUUACUUAUUUUUCACUGCUGUUCCCAUAAACACUAAAUUUAUAGAAAAUAUGUUCUUUUUUUUUUAAUGUUAGACUCAUCUCAAGUGAAGGGAAAGAGGAGAAAGGAUUUUUCUUCAAAUGCUUGCAGAAAUAUACAGCUGAACAGCAUUUGGUUUGAAGUUCACAUAUGCAACACUCUCUAAGUUACCUAUCAUAAAUCUGAAGCUGAUGUUAUAGUUUUGAUUGCACAUUUCUACAAUGCAUUUUAUGACUCAUUUCCAGGCAGAUUUAUAGCCCUUACAGAAUACUAGAUGAGUUAGUCCACAUACUUCAUGUCAGCAAGUUCUGUUUUCUUCUCUGAAAUUUCUGCUGGUUAAAAUUAAGCCAUAUUGCAUUCAAAGUACAUUUACCCUUAUAAUGUUUGAACUGUUCUUGGUCAUCUUUGAGAAUUUGAUGAAAAUGGUUGAAGGUUAUGACCCUGCAGAUGAUAAGCAGUAAAUGAAAGCUGAUAUCUCCAUGACUUUCAACACCAAAAACAGGUCUUUCUUUUGUAUACACAUUAAAUUGACCACCCGAGUUUUGAAAUGAUUUAAGGGCAAGGUGAAGCCUAUGUAGCCUACAAGUGUCCUUUCCAAAACAAUCCCAGAAAGAGAAACAGAGAGAGGAGAGAACAAUGCGGCUCUUUGCGGGCUAACAGAUGUGAAACCAUCUACACAUGACAGAGUAGCCAACAAUAACCUAGCACAAAUCAUGAGCAGUUGGAAAGAAAAAUAUCUUUACAGUAGGCUUUGAAUAAAUGCUGUGGCUUGGAAACAAGUACAGUUUUUGCCCAGAUAUUCUGGCUGAUGCUUUGCCUUUGCUGGGUCCUGUAGGAAGGUCCCAUCACCAUCAUUGCAUCAUGUCUUACCACCCAAAUGUCUGACAUGUAUCAAAGCCAGGCAGAGUAAGAAAAACACCUUGUUAUUUGUAUUUACUUGUGAAUAAACAUAAACGUGUUUAUACUCAUGUCCAAAACCCUUAAAAUCUUCUGAGGACUGACUAAAUCUUUUAUAACCCAGUUACCCUUUGGAUUAUUCAUGAACACGGGACAUGCAGGCACAGGAGGCAGCUGCCCAGGAUAUCACAUCACUGCUUGCUGCAACUACAAAGCCAGCAUGUGUUUUACAUGCACUGUUGUACCUGACUCACACAGGAUGUGGCUUUUUGGAAGGCUUUCCUUGAACUCAUAGUGUGGAAAUCCAGUCUACUAAUCCCUACAGAGGAAUAAGCAUUUCCCAUGUGGUGUUGUAAGGAUGGUAGCUGCAUCCACAGCAUGGUGAAAUGAGUGGCUGAACCAGAGUAAGGAAAUGAUGAUGCCUUGGUCUUCUGAGCAGGCCAUCCACUGGGGGUGUGUUGCUGCCUAGUGGUGGAAUAAUCCAUUUCCCAUUCUCCAUGCAAGGGGAGAGACAGGCAUAGUGCUGAGACCUGCUGGGAUAACAUACCUGGAAGAUUCAUCAGACAUUAAGAAAAUGGUGUGGAGAAGUUUAUGUUAGUUUAUCCUGGAGUUGUCCUUGCUUACUAAACCUGAAGCGUGCUUGGAGGUAGCAGCAGCAGAAGGACAUUGCAGAUGGGUUGGCAAGUGCAUCAAAUGCCAGCAGCAGCUGUGGUCCCACAAAUCUAUUCACUAAUCCACCUUGCUGCAGAGCCCAGGAGAAGCUGGUUUUCAGAGAGCUGCUUCAGAAGCAGAGAUUUACGUUGUGUUUGACAAGAAGAAAGUCCAUUUCAGCAGCUCCUGUUUGCAUCUGGCUCUUUGCACAGAGGCUGUGCGUUUGCUUGCUUUCCAGUCCCACAUGCUUUGCUUUGGCUAUGGGGAUCAUUUGCCCAGGGACAUAGGGAAUAGCCCCCGUUCAAGGACAGAACAUCUUGUUAAAAUUCCUUCUAUAAAAACGACAGUGACUUUUUUAAAGGCUGUUGCCUGCCAGUUCACGAAGCAGAGCUAAGAACAAAUUCCUCAUGUGCAGCAUAUUUCUUUUUACGACCUGAAAGGCAGCACACAGUGCAGUGUACAGAUUUUCUUUUGGCAGCACGGAUUUAUUUCACUCCCAGCCCCUAUCUCUAGAAACAGACGAUCUUAUGUUGUCCUUUUUUUUUUGUUUGUUUAUUUUUUCUUAAAUCUUGGUCUUUGCAAAGUGUUUAUUUUAGAGCAGCCAAGGUGCUUUGGUGAAGUGUUGUCAGAGACUUUUAGGCCUUUAUGCCUCCAUGCUGCAAGGAACGAAGCAUUGAUCAUCCCAUUUCUGCUUGUUCUCUUGUGACACGUUGUGUUUUUGCAUCAUACACAUCAUUGACCUCAUAGCUAACUUUUCCUGGUGUUUUCCCUCCAUUUUCCAUCGCUGUUGUUUCCUAUCAAUGUCUUUACACCUCCAUUCUCUUUUGCAGCAUCCUGCCCCUUCUCUUUUUUUGUAAGGCUGAGUAUGGGAUUUGUCAAAAACUUUCCCUUGAAAGGUCGUCAAAACCAUUGAAAGUGCUUUUGACACAGCUUGAAAACAAAAGGUUCUUUGUUUUCUGUUCUGUGUUUUUCAACAAAGAUCCAAUCUUUUCCCCAGCAGUAAGUGGUGUUUUCAGUUCACUUCCCUAAAUACUUGCAGGCUCUCUUUUUCCUACGAAUCUCUCUAAGUAACAUAUCUAGUAAUCCUAUUUCUCAUGUUCGCACCUGGAAGUGUUGCAUAUCUUAUCUGUCUUGCCCACUUUCUUGUAUUUUUUAUAUAUAUAUAUAUUUACCUAAUCUAGCUUAAGCUGUAAAUUCUUCAGGGUGAAGAAGAGGGCUACAUUUUGGCAGCCUUUGUUUGAUAAUAUUGACUUAACAUGCCUUAGAUUGCCAAGAAUGAAAGCAGCAGGUGGUACUUUCUGCUCAGUGCAAGUUCACAUUGAGAGAAACUGUGGCUUUCUGCAUUUUAAAGGAGAUAAUGGCUUCAAGACAGAAGAACGUGGUGUUCUCCAAGCCCCUGUUCUGCAGCUAUCCAUCCUGGUCGAAUCCUUCCCUUCCAUUCCUAUGUAAUAAAUAAUGGUCAUCUCCCCACUCAGGUGCCUGAACCUACUUGAGACUCUCAUAGUUUGAGCCUGAUAUAAGAAGUCAUUCCAGAGCAUCUAAGUGAGCUGAAAAUGCAAAUACAGUGUUGGGUUGGUAGCAUCCUGUGCUGGUUUAGUUUUUCUCAAUGACUGACCAGGUAGACAAGGAUAUCUUCAUAAGAGAUUUGUCUGUUUUUCAGUCAGUUUCAGUGAGGCUAUCACCAAUUGCUAUCUGUGACAGGAGAAGUGCAAGAAUAGGAGUUAUGUUUGCAGCCUCUGAGAUAUGUGGAAGAAAACAAGCCUGGAACAACAGAAAUGGGCUGGUAUUUAUAAGUUCAUGCCAUGGCUACGUCCUUGCAGAGAUGGAAUCUGUUGUGUUGAUAUGAAUUCUAUGAGUUUCUAUCAAAAUCCUGGGCUAACAUGAUCCAAGAUGCCAUGAGUUUGUGAAGUGUUUAGUUCUUAUUCUUGAAUCUAUUCCAGUCACUGCGCUUGCAGAAUAAUCGUUUCUCAAGUUAACAGGCAUGGGUUGAUAGUUGGACUAGAUGAUCUUGGUAACCUUUCCAACCUUAAUGAUUCUAUGAUUCUAAAUUUGAAUGCAACUCCUUUCAGUGGUAUUCUAGGAACAGUGGCAAAAAAACACACCUAAAAAAUGAGAUCUAAAGAUGAUCAUGCCUAUUAUUAUGUGAUGAAAGUCCUAUUUCUGUCUUAAAACGUCACUAAUUUUUCAAGACUGAUUUUCCACUCAAAGUGAGAAAUAUUUGAUUAUUUCCAACUGGAGAAAUAUAUAAAAUAACAAAGAAUUGUUGAACUUGAUAGAGCCUCAUGGCCGGUGGUCUGGCAGCUGCUCAGACAAUACAGUCGAACACUCAGACAAAAGCAUCUUGGAGGGUUUUAAAAGCCUUUCUUAGAAAUGGAUAUAUGUGUGAUUCGGUUCACCUCUUUUCCCCAGCCAUGACAAAUAAAUGUUAGCAGUGUCAGGAGGAAGAGUCCUGGUGAAGGAUGGGAAAGAAAAUACCAACAGCCCUGCCCUUGGAAGAGUGGGAAUGUUUUGAGAGAGGCAUUAAAAGAAAACCCCAUGUGUUUCCUGCCCCUUGGCCAAUUUUUUUUUUCCCAUCAUUGAGGAAGAUGAACCUUUUUCCUCUUGGGGAAACAGUAUGACCCUAUAAAGGAGCAGUUCCAGACCAGAUUCUGUAGUUUUUUCUCUGUAUAUGGGAAUUUUGUCCAGGGUCAGGGUGAUUAAUGACAGAUAUAAUUAAUUUAAUGUUAUUCAAAUCAGUUGAUGAAAACUGAAAGUAAUGACUGUAUGAGUAACUGCGGAAGGAAAGAUGUGCACUGUGGUGUCUGUUGUAAAGUCUAAUUUUCUGGAAACAAUGAAUAAUAUGACUUUUUCAAGGGAAGAUUUGAUGAACAUCCAGGCUGAAGAAAGUGGUUUCCUACACUAAUCUGUGCUUAGAAUCAACAGACUGCAGCUCUCCAUUAUGGACUCUGGAUUGGAAGGACUCAAUUUGUUACCACUUAUACCAUUUGUAGAACUGUGGUUGCUGCAAAAGAAUCUAGGUUAUCUAGCUGGGAGUGCUGAAGUUUUAUACAGGAAGACAAAAUACCAAGAGAAAAGUGGGUCAGAUCUGUCCUGCUAACAUCAGAUGUCCAUGGGGGAAGCAGAGGGGACCGAAGUGAUGGGCUAUGGGAUGAUGCACGUGAAUGACUGGAGCUGCUUUAGAAAGUGCAAGUACUAGCAAAGCCAGAGCUUUUUGCCAUUACUGAAGUCAAUUCAAGCUUCUUCAUGUUUUCCUCAGUCCUAUUUUUCAGUGUGGUCUAUCAAGGACUGCGGCUUAAUUUUCCAGUGAUUUGUCAGGAUAAAAAGAUGCCAUUUCCACACAGCCUGUUGUUCCCAGUGUAAAUAUGUUUUUAGGCACGGAGAAAAAUAAUUUUACAGAGCAGAGAAGCUGCAAACCCUUCUGGCAGUAUCUAUGGCAGCAGAAGUGCUCUGUUUCCAUCACUUCUAUUUAUGGAAAACCAAAGACGAUUUAUCUCCUUGAUUCCCAUAAGACUUGCUAUAGCUUAGUCAGGAACCAUGAAUUAUUGCUUAGUAGGAGUUAUAUCAGGGAAACUGCAGAGGCUGGGGAGAGGCUGUGCCUCAGCACACAGCUAUACUGUCUAUCCUGGUUCUCCAUAGGGACCCUGGAGAUACCUUCUCCUCUUCCUUCUGAGAUGUUAGAUCAACUAAUAGUGGAAAUGAGAAUUUCCUCUAGAACUCAGGUUCAGAUUGGAUAUUAGGAAAACUUUCUUCUAAGAUAAAGUGGUGAUAUGGUGGCACAGGCUGCCCAGCAAGGUGGAGGAGUCACAGUUCCUCGAGGUGUCAGAGGAAGAGACUUGGCACUGAGCAAUGUGGUCAGUAGGCAUGGUAGGAUGGGUUGUGCUGGGUUCAGCAGUCCCAAAGGUCUUCUCCAACAUUAAUGUUUCUACAGUCCUAUGAACUCCUUUUAAUACAACUGAUCUUAGGUUUUGUAUUGCUGAUGGUUGGCUCCUAUAGAGUGGCAUCUCCAUAUAGGAGAGCGGAGAACAAGCAGAAACUUACACAGCUGCUUGGGUCUCCUUUGGUCCUGGCAGGGGCAGAUGUGACUUUUUUCCCAUAGACAUUCUGUCACUGCAGAGGUUUUUUUUCUUUUUUUUUUUUUUUUUUUCUUGAGAAA